CUUGGCAACAGCAACUACAAGCGCUCCCCACGCGCAAGAUUGAUCUCUCCUGGAGCAGCCCUUGAGGCUUUUCUGGCUUUAAAUCUCAGGUGGUUGGCGCAACUUGAAACCGUGUGGUGCUCCUAGACUCCAAGCAAGGAAGAAACACUGUGCUUUUGGACCCUGCCAACAGAAAGGAGGCACGACACCUUGAAGGAUUAUUUAGCAAGCUAUGAAGAAAUAUAUAAUGCAUGCUGCUGAUACUCGACGAUUCUAACACAUUCACACAAUUUCAGAAGUUUGUGACUCUGCAUGCAAAUUGGAAACUCUGACUGAAAUGUAAUACUGCCACCUGGUGGCAACCACUGGGAUUUUUGGACUCAAAAAGUUCCUGAUGACGUCCCAGAGAGCUGGUUUGCCAGCAUGCUGUUGGGCUGUUAUGAAAACAGUCCCCAUAACUUAAGAACAGCAAAUUAAGAUCCAAACUACCUAUGAUAUGAUAUGGCUGAUAUCAGAAAGAAGUUGUGAUAAAUAGAAAGCUUCACAACAAAAUUCAAAUGAAAUGAAAUUCACCUCUCA